UAAACCUCAAAUAUAUGAUUUACAUAAUUUUCAAAACUAAAUAACUGAAAAAUAAGUAAAAGAAAAACCAAAAAAAAGAGGAAAAAAAAAGGAAACAAAAAGAACGUAAAAAAAGGAAACAAAAAUAACCGAAAAAAAAGGAAACAAAAAAAACAACAAAAAACAUUAAAUAAUAUGAGGAGUUAAUUAUUAAAUACAAAAAUUCCUCUAAAUCGGCCCAUUUGGGUUAAAUGCAAAAAAAUCGAUUUUAUGCAGGUGUUCAGGACACCAGGUGUCCAUUUAUCAUAUCCAUCGGACAUUUAUCAUAUCCAUCGAGUUCGAGAUUCCGGCGAUGAUGCUAGACACGAAUCCCGUAUUCAGUGCCCGCACGGAUACAAAAGUCCAGAAACACAAAAAUCUAGUUAAAUUUAAGAGGAAUCAAUCGCAUAUUCCCAAACGACAACUUUUUAGAAUUAAAAAAAAAAAAAA
rnacentral:lncRNA from 1 species